rnacentral:lncRNA from 1 species
AACAGCUCCAAAUAGCCUGGUGUCCUAUUUUUCCUCAGGGGAUGGAUACCUUAGCCACCUUCCCUGGCCUGGAAUGCAAAGAAUGCCACUUCAUUUGAGUGAAUAGAGAAUUCUUGGUAAAGGAAAACAAUCCGUCUCUCUCCGUCCCUCUUUCUCUCUCAUAAAUCAUAAAUCACAGACAAGAUGGAGGUCUUUCUGACAAUACCUAGAGAAAAAAAAAAGUCGUCUUUUAGAAUCACCCAAGCACAGGCCUGGCAGUGGAGUGUCUACCUCCAGGGCCCACAGACGACCUCCCACAACCAAGCUGACGGUGAGCCUGACCUUGAGAUCCCGCACAAGGCUGGGACAUCGGUCUUCUCCUGCCCUUGAACUAGAAUUUACACCAUCGGCUCUCCUGCUUCUCAGGCCUUUGCACUCAGACUGGAACUAUAGCCUCAGCUCUCCUGGGUCGCCAGCUUGCCAGCUGCAGACCUUGGAAUUCUCAGCUUCCGUAAUCGCGUGAGCCAACUUCUAACAGACACGGUGAGAAGGCAGCUGUCUGCAAGCCAGGAAGAGAGCCCUCACUGAAGAACCAAUCAGC